AAACUUUCAACAACGGAUCUCUUGGUUCUGGCAUCGAUGAAGAACGCAGCGAAAUGCGAUAAGUAAUGUGAAUUGCAGAAUUCAGUAAAUCAUCGAAUCUUUGAACGCACAUUAGCCGCGCCAGUAUUCUGGCGGGCAUGCCUGUUCGAGCGUCAUUU
rnacentral:rRNA from 1 species